AGCGUCGAAACGCGCCUCCUCCGCCGUCUCGGCUCCGCCUUUCUCCUCCGUCCCCGCCGUCUUCUCCCUCUUCCCUCUCCUUCGCCGCUCCUCUUUUCUUCUCCCACACUCUCCUCUUCAUCUUCUUCCAGAUCACCCUUCUUUCCUCCCUUUCGAGCUGCAUCCGUCCCCGGCGCCAGCGACUUUGACACCGACUCCGACGAGCCCUCAGCCGUCUUCCACGAGUCCGACUUGCAUGGAUUACACCUGAUUCUCACCCGAUCCAAAACCAAAUCCUUGUCCUUGUCGCGAUGAGAGGCCCUGGCCUUCCCGCGGGUCUCCUUUCGGUGGUCGCGCGCACUCGGGGUUUGGUCACCUAGGCUCUAUUGAUGCUGAUGCGGGGCCAUGAAUUGGCCUUCAUCGCUUCUGGUGGGCGUGGCAUAUCAUGACUUGGGUGAUGGGCAAGCAGCGGCGAUUUGAUUUGGCCUGCUUCCUGGUGCGCGGCAUGCUCCCCGAGUCGGUUCUCACGCAGCAAUUCCACUUCUUGGCAUCUAGUAGUUAAUAUUGACGAUUGAAUAACAAGUUUUAGUUCUUUCUAGUGUUUCUGUUGGUUUGAUUUGGCCAAAUUAAUGCCUAGUUAGAAACUUAGUGUGCUAUCAUCAAUCAGCAUUAGAGGAUUAUCCCCCAAUUUGAAAUGCAUUUAAAUUUGGUUUGUCUUAGUUACUGUAAUCCUCCAUAUAAUAGUUAAGUACUUAUGUUUUAGCUUCAUAUGCUUUCCAGCUCUUUGAGUAAUGGUUCUUGAGAUUGAGAGGUAGAAAUACAGAGUCAGAUGCUUUGCCAAGAUGAACUUAGGAUACUUGAUGUUAUAUGUUUUAUAACCAUUUUAUUCCUUAUUUUCUUAAAGCCAUAGACUAUGAUCAUGGUGAAACAUGAUCAUCUAGUGAGUUGCUAAUGCAUGGUUUGUAUCAUUGGACACCUUGAAUGAUGUGGGUGUGUGUUUAGAAAUGGCAGGCAUAGGAUGCUUGUGUUGAAGCACAGGUUAGCAUUUGAGAACUUUAAUGGUGAAGAUGCUAUGGAAUGAUUACAAUCUUCGAUUGUUGUGGCCAUGGUAGAUGAAUCUUGCUAGUGCAUUUUAGCAUUAUACCGAUAUGAUAGAAGCAAAUGUGUCCAGAAAAAAAAUCAUUCAAGCACAGUGUUUCUCGUUUUUUAGGAGAUUAUGAUUGCCAGAAAGAAUAUGAGUCCUGUGUUGAUAUCUUCAAAGACGCUUCAAGGCUUACAAUAUAGGUUCUUGUUUCCUAAGAAGCACAACACAUCAAUUUGGUGGGUGCAUCCGUGUUGGACAAGUGUCACACAUGGAUUCGUUGCUGACACGAUCAAACACGUGACAGACACGUGUAUGGUUUUAUUUAAUUUUUGGACACAUCAUAUCCAUAUCGAACACAUACCUCUCGUAUGCCCUUCCUCACCUCUGUCACCAAAUACAAGCAGGCCCACGCCUUCCUCUUCUGCAUUGCGCUCCUCGACGACCCUCGAUGCUCUAGCAAGCUUCUCUCCUUCCUUGCUGUCUCACCCUUCGACAACCUCGACUAUGCCCACAUAGUUUUCGCAUAGCUGUAGCGCCCUCUUGACCACUUCCUAUGGAAUGCAAUCAUCCUCGGCCACACACCCGUAGCCUCGAUCCACCUUGUCAUGGAUAAAUCUAUGAACUGGGUGUUCGAUGUAAUGCUUGUGUAUGUUCAUGUCUUUCGGUUUUGUUCAUGUUUUGCACAACAUGUAGAGGGAUUGCAGUAGGCUUGACAGCCCCAUUUUGGUUGACUUUUGUGGUCAUUUCGGUUUUGUAAACGCAGAUUGUGUGCAGUCGUCGCACAUAGGCAAAACUGCCUAGAAACAUACCAUCUAAGCAACCAUUUUGGGGGUUUUCUAGCUCCGCAGAAUGGUUCGAAGUGUCAGCCAGCACAGCACCCAAGAGUUACCCUGGUCGCACAUGGCUGGAUGGGCCUUUGGGGUAGUGUGUAGGGUUGGUUCAUUGUCUUAUUCGAUAGUAGUAUCAUGUGGGCACUUGUGGGGACUUUUGGUCACUGUGGACCACCUUGGACUCUUUAUCACACGACUGUUCAGAGCUCGCGAAAUCUAUGUUUAUAAUUUGCACUGCCUAUCAAAUGUUUGCUGAAAUGACUGCUUGUUGGAUUCCAAGUUAAAUGCUUCCUCUGACCCGUCUUUUCUUUUGUAGGUUCUUAAGGGACCAUAAGAGGUUUCGGGGAGGCUAACUCUUUGUGGACGGACAUGCAUGGGUGCCGCGUGACUUAGGCAAAACUAGCUAAGUCCAUGACAACCUUUUCGCCCUUUCCUUUCGCCAUAUGCUCCACGCAUGUGUCGUAUCUGAUCACCACACGUCCCCCUUUGUGCUCGCGGCCUAAUGUCUACAUGCUCAACGCAUUACUUCAAAUGUACAUCUGUUGUGGUUGCUUUGGAGCCGCUCACUUGUUAUUCGACGGAAACUCUCUUAGAGAUGUCAUGUCAUGGAAUGUCAUAAUGAGAGGGUACGUCCUUGAAGGCUUUAUUGAGCUUGCAUUGCAUUUAGAGGGGAUGAAAGGCAUGGGCAUGAAACCAGAUGAGGUCACAUUGAUAAGUCUGGUGUCGGCUUGCUUUGGCUCUAGUGAUUUGGAUAGAGGGCGAUCACUCCAUUUGUUUGUGAAUGAGCUCGGUUUGGUGAUGAAGAGCCUCAAUUUGGGGAUCGCUCCAUUUUAAAAAAUACACGUGUCCUCACUGUGUCCGUGUCCUAGUUUUUUAAAAAAUGACGUUCCAUCAUGUCUGUGUCGUGUUCGUGUCCCGUGUAUGUGUCCGUGCUUCUUAGCUUGUUUCUUGGCGUUAAGUUUCUUUUUUUUUCUUUCCGGUUACCUUUACAAGAACAAAAAAGUACUGAAUAGCUCUAAUCAAUUUUAUAUGCAAGACAGGAAACUUAGUCAUGUUUCCUUGGAUUCUAUAGUAGCUGAUUUGGUUAAGUAUUAUAUAUUUCAUGUAGAAGAAUUAGCAGUUGACUGGUUAUUUCAUUUGAUUCUCCGUGCUGUAACCGUGUUGUGUCACCUUAUAUCAGAUGAUUUGAAGACUUGAGCAACUCCAUAUUGACUAAGCUCCUAUUAGUUUCCUUUCAUCUCAGAUUACUAGGUGUUCUGAUAGGAUACAGUGCAUUAGUGCUGGUAUGAUCGCACCCUUUCAUCUCGUAUUUCCUUUCAUCUCAUAUUUCAACUCCAUAUUGACUAACCUCCUAUUAGUGUUUCUUUUCCUUGUAUUCUAUAAUAGCUUAUUUGGUUAAGCAAUAUGUACUUCGUCUAGGAGAAUUAGCACGACUAGUUAUUUCAUUUGAUUUUGCAUGCUGUAACCGUGUUGUAUGAUGUUUUUGUCAGAUGAUUUGAAACUUGAGCAACUCCAUAUUGACUAACCUUGUAUUAGCAUUUCCUUUCAUCUCAUCUUUCCAGGUGUUUGUGACCAAGAAAACUAUACAAAUAUCCCAAUGGCAAGCAGCUGCAGAUGUUAUCAAUCUUCUUUCCCCUGCCAUGAACCCAGUACAGCUGGGAUCGACAGCUAGAUUACAUGCCACUUUUUUGUUGGUAAAAUGUGGCUUAAUGGCCUACUAGCUGUAAAUCAUUUUCUGAUUCUAUAAUAAGAUAGAUGUUGCUGAUUAUUUUCGGAUUAUUUGUUUUUGUCAUGAGAUAAAACCAAGGAAAGAUGACCAAGAUGAGGUAUCACAUUUUCUGCAGCUUGAUCUGCUAUGCGAGUGAAUAAACCAGCUGACUAGUGAUAUUUAUUUGGGCUUUUGAAUUAGCAUUUCAGAUAGAUUGUGGCUUCAACGGGCCAGUGUAAAUAUUAACUUGUGGUAUAAAUCUGUUGAAAUGGUUCUUGAAGCUCUCACAAAACAGGUGGGUUCCACACGGCAGAAGUGACAUGGGUGAGAGUACCUGCCAUUUGAGAGGGGAAAAUGUACCCCUGUAUCGGCUGACGCCAUUGAUCCAAUUUGGAGAAGGCCUCACAUUCAUGCACAUUAUCUCCCACCUUUGCUCCACGACACGGACUUGUGUUGUUGAUCCCAGGUGCAAGAGUGUCGCGGAUGGUGUUCCUUGAGAAUGGAGCUUCAUGCAGUAGAUUCCACAUUUUUCGAUGGGAAAUCGUGUUCCUUGUCUCGAUUUUCAGAGAAUGGUCCACAGUUGGAUGAUGAUGAUGAUUGUGAUGGUGGUGGUGGUGGAUUCUGCCCCUUCAAAGUGGUGAAAGUUAUUUCUCCCAGAAAAAGAGGUGUGUUGGCAAUCAUCAAAAUACCUUCUCUGAACCAUGUGCAGUCCACCUUGUUGGUAUCAGUGACACAAUAGAAAAUGGAGGUGCAGCAAGCAGUCUGGCAAAACAGACAAAAGCACCCAACACUGUUUCAUCUUUCUUUCUCGAUUCAAAUGAUUCAAGAGAAAGCAAGAAAGUCAAAUCCGUGAAGAAGAAGAAUAUAAUUGUUGUGUUCUCUGCAGAAGACAUCCGAUGCAAAGAUUUGCCUGAUCCACUGGUAUGUAGCAUGACACCCUGCCAUUUGCUAGUAUAAUAGGUUUUGAGUUGAUGCCAACGUGCGUGCUCGAUUUCAUGUGAUCACAAGUUGGUAUGGUAGCACUUGCACUUGACGACAGAAAUCCAUAUCAUCUUCUGACAUGUUACAUGUGGUGGCAAUUGAUAUCUAACCAGCUAAAGAAAAGCUCCGAUGACAGGGAACCACUGCACAAGAUACAGAAUCACCAUUCCAGACUUGAUAUAUUGCAUUUCAAGAAUCUACACAAGGAUGAACCGGAAGAACAAAAUGCUCCAGUCGAUUAGAUUCCUUUAUACCAACAAAUUGUUUUCGAGUGCCUGUUAGCUGCUGUACAGCUCAUAAUAAGCUUUGUACAGAAAGGGCAUCUAUCUACCCAUAAUUGUUUCAUGGAAUAAUAUCCAAGCGGAGAAGGUUGCUGAUCAACAACAACUCAAAGUUGGUAAGCGUUCGUUCUCUAUCAAGAACAAAGAAGCAUUCUAUAUCUUGGUACAUCAACAGCUCAAUGUUGCAUGUGCUUUAACCAUGUCUGAGAACAACACUACAAUUAAGAUGUUUUCUAACAUAACAUUCUUUUGAUUUGGGUAUUGAGGACCAAAAAUUGCAUGCAUGCAUGCAUUCAUGCGCAAGAGAAAUCGGCAGAAAGCAAUCAAUCACACAUCUUUUCAAUCAGAAAGAAGGAAAGAAAUCAUUAUCUACACAACAGCAAGAAGCUCAGGAGGGGAAGGAGAAAACUCGCAUGGCACAGCCGGAAGUUCCAUCUCCCCCUUGAGAAUUCUGACGACGUCGCCACCGUCCGGCCGCAGCUCCGGAAUCCUCUGCAAGCACAAGAGAGCCAGGUUGAUGCAAAGGCUCGCCUGUUCCUUGUCAUAUGCAUCCGUCAACCUCUCGUCCACGAGCUCCAGGAGAUUGCCGGUUUGAAGCAACCGCCUGCACCAGCUCACCAAGCUCGCCUUCUCUGGCUUCGCCGGCGACGGCAGCACGUGCAGCGGCCUCCUCCCGGAGACGAUGACAAGGAUCAGAACUCCGAAGCUGUAUAUAUCGGCCUUCUCCAUCAGCUGAUCACAGCCAUGGCACUCUGGAGCGACGUAGCACACCGUGCCUCUCAUGCUCGUCGUGCUGCUCAGCUCCCUACUGAGCAGAUCACCGCUGAACAUGUCGCUGCCCACUGACUGACUCCUCUUCUUCCUCCAUCCCUUUCUGAAGCCUGCAUCCGCGGUCAAGUCUCGGCCAUGCUUAUUAGCAUCAUCGCCGAGAUCACUGAUCGUUCGGAGCCACUUCCGCUCUUUCUGGCAAUGUCCCUUCUUGCUCAUUUC